UACGGGGGAGCAAGCGUUGUUCGGAUUUACUGGCGUAAAGGGCGCGUAGGCGGUCAGCACAAGUCAGUUGUGAAAUCUCCGGGCUUAACUCGGAAAGGUCAACUGAUACUGUGCGACUAGAGUGCAGAAGGGCAACUGGAAUUCUCGGUGUAGCGGUGAAAUGCGUAGAUAUCGAGAGGAACACCUGCGGCGAAGGCGGGUUGCUGGGCUGACACUGACGCUGAUGCGCGAAAGCCAGGGGAGCGAACGGG
rnacentral:rRNA from 1 species